rnacentral:rRNA from 1 species
GAUGAACGCUAGCUACAGGCUUAACACAUGCAAGUCGAGGGGCAUCAGUUUGGUUUGCUUGCAAACCAAGCUGGCGACCGGCGCACGGGUGAGUAACACGUAUCCAACCUGCCUCAUACUCGGGGAUAGCCUUUCGAAAGAAGAUUAAUAUCCGAUAGCAUAUAUUUCCCGCAUGGGUUUAUAUUAAAGAAUUCGGUAUGAGAUGGGGAUGCGUUCCAUUAGUUGUUGCGGGGUAAGCCCACCAAGACUACGAUGGAUAGGGGGUUCUGAGAGGAAGGUCCCCCCACAUUGGAACUGAGACACGGUCCAAACUCCUAC